GAUGAACGCUGGCGGCGUGCCUAAUACAUGCAAGUCGAGCGAACAGACGAGGCUCUUGCUCCUCUGACGUUAGCGGCGGACGUGUGAGUAACACGUGGAUAACCUACCUAUAAGACUGGGAUAACUUCGGGAAUCCGGAUCUAAUACCGGAUAAUAUAUUGCACCGCAUGGUUCAUUAGUGAAAGACGGUUUUGCUGUCACUUCUAGAUGGAUCCGCGCCGCAUUAGCUAGUUGUUAAGGUAACGGCUUACCAAGGCAACGAUGCGUAGCCGACCUGAGAGGGUGAUCGGCCACACUGGAACUGAGACACGGUCCAGAAUACUAAGGGAGGCAGCAGUAGGGAAUCUUACGCAAUGGGCGAAAGCUUGACGGAGCAACGCCGCGUGAGUGAUGAAGGUCUUCGGAUCGUAAAACUCUGUUAUUAGGGAAGAACAAAUGUGUAAGUAACUAUGCACGUAGUGACGGUAACUAAUCAGAAAGCCACGGCUAACUACGUG
rnacentral:rRNA from 1 species